CAGGAUAAGUGCAUAAAAAAUUGACACCAAAAUUGCAGCGACAAACUCCUAAAUGUCCCAUACGGUCCAAAACCAAAUAUUAAACGACUCGUCGUAAAGAAGCACACCUUUCCCUUUCCCUUCAUUUCAUCGUAUUCGUGUUCGCAGUGUCUAAACUAACCCAAUGCUCUCUCGCUCUCUCAGACCUCGUCACAUACUCUCCUCCCUCCGUUCAUUACCCUUUACCCUAAACCCAAACCCAAACCCUAACCCUAACCCUAACCGAACCCCUCCAAUCCGAGCCUCCACACACCGUCCCUUCUCUUCUUCAUGGCUGUCCGAACCUGGAAACCCAAUCAUCCAAUGGCCCUCACUACCCCCACCAAAACCCACUCCGAACCCAAACCCAAACCCAAACCUAAACCCCACACCCGACCCUCCCUCUCCCAACCCAAACGCUCUCUCCGUCAUCUCCAACCUCUUCGCCGACCCUUCCCUCUCGCCCGGCCCGGCCCUCCACGCCGAGCUCGACCGGGCUGGGAUCGAGCCGGACCCGGCCCUUCUGCUCGCCGUGUUCGAUCGCUUCGGCUCGUCGCCCAAGCUGCUGCACUCGCUCUUCCUCUGGGCCCAGACGCGGCCCGCCUUCAGGCCCGGCCCCAAGCUCUUUGACGCCGUAGUCAACGCGCUCGCGAAGGCGAGGGAGUUUGACGCCGCGUGGAAACUUGUUCUCCAUCACGCCGAGAAAGACGGGGAAGAAGAAGGAGAAAAAGAAAGGUUGGUUUCCGUUGGAACCUUCGCUAUCAUGAUUCGGCGCUACGCUCGUGCAGGUAUGUCCAAACUUGCAAUUAGAACAUAUGAGUUUGCCAGAAAUAACAAGUCAAUUGUGGAUUCUGGCUCAGAAAUGAGUUUAUUGGAGAUAUUGAUGGAUUCACUUUGUAAAGAAGGGUCUGUGAGGGAAGCUUCAGAGUAUUUCCUUUGGAAAAAGGAGUUGGACUUAAGUUGGGUUCCUUCUAUUCGGGUUUAUAACAUAAUGUUAAAUGGAUGGUUUCGAUUGCGGAAACUCAAGCAGGGAGAGAGACUUUGGGCAGAGAUGAAGGAGAAUAUGAGACCCACUGUUGUGACAUAUGGUACCCUUGUGGAAGGAUAUUGUCGAAUGCGCCGUGUCGAAAAGGCACUUGAAAUGGUUGGUGAUAUGACCAAAGAAGGAAUUGCACCAAAUGCAAUUGUGUAUAAUCCAAUAAUCGAUGCACUGGCCGAAGCUGGAAGAUUCAAAGAGGCAUUGGGUAUGUUGGAACGUUUUCAUGUUUUGGAAAUAGGCCCUACUGAUUCAACAUACAAUUCUCUGGUAAAGGGGUUUUGUAAGGCAGGAGAUCUUGUAGGUGCUAGUAAGAUUCUUAAAAUGAUGAUAAGUAGGGGUUUCCUCCCAAGUGCUACCACUUAUAACUACUUUUUUAGGUACUUUUCAAGAUGUAGAAAAAUCGAGGAGGGGAUGAACCUGUAUACAAAGUUGAUUCAAUCUGGUUAUACCCCAGAUCGGUUAACUUACCAUCUUCUGGUGAAGAUGUUAUGUGAAGAGGAGAAGUUGGACUUGGCAGUUCAAGUUAGCAAGGAAAUGAGGCAUAAUGGAUAUGACAUGGACUUGGCUACGAGUACCAUGUUAGUUCACUUGCUUUGCAAAGUGCGUAGGUUGGAAGAGGCUUUUGUGGAAUUUGAGGACAUGAUACGGAGGGGUAUAGUUCCUCAGUAUCUGACUUUCCAGAGAAUGAAAGCUGAUUUAAAGAAACAAGGUAUGACUGAAAUGGCUCAAAAACUUUGCAAGUUGAUGUCUUCUGUUCCCUAUUCUCCGAAUUUGCCAAAUACUUAUGGUGAAGUCAGAGAAGAUGCAUAUGCACGAAGAAAAUCUAUAAUUCGGAAAGCCAAAGCAUUUUCUGAUAUGCUGAAGGACUGUAAGGACCCUAGUGAACUUCGUAAGCAUAGAAGUUCAUCAGAAAAUACUGUCUCAAGCACAAACAGUUUGAUAGAGGAUAUUGAGAGAAAAAGAAAUACAGGAUGAACUUCUGCGAUCUCAGUAUCAGCUGGGAGCAAUUAUGGACAGUUUGAAGCACAUGGGAAUCAGUUUGCAUUUAUUCACAUUUGUUGAAAAGAAUUUUGCUGUAUUUCCUUAUACAAUUUGUACGCAUCAAAGCAACAGGAAGUGGAUCAGUGAAACGGAUUCGCUGUUGUCUACAACAGCAUCUGCUACCAGUGUUCGUUGUACAGAAAAUAACUUCUAAUAGCCAAAUUGUGGAUAUUUAUCAAUGAAGAUAACAACAACUGAAGUUAUUUCUAGCCAUUGGAGCUCACAGUAAAUUGCUUUUAACGUGUUCCAUCAAAAAGUUGGUACAAAUCCCUGUAAUCUUCAUUUUUGGAAAGUGUCAUCUAUUUUUAAGUCGGAACUAUUGCUUCUAGCCUACCACUGGGGAUCUGUAUUGAGGGGGAGGUCAAUAUCCACUGCCAUGAACUUUCAUCUUCAUCCUUUUAAGCAUCAUCAUAUUCCUGAGAAACUGGCUCGCUGGCCUAUUUUGGUUGGGGGUAUACUCUUAACCAACCUCUUGUGAUGCUCAGUGAUUUUUUGGGUUAUCAAGUCAGUUUGUAUACUUUUUUAGCUCUAGUUAUAUAAGCCAAGAGGCAAAAAAAAAAAAAAAAAAAAAAACUACCAAAUACUAAUUUAUUUAGUAUGAUCAUAGUUUGUGCUCAUGAGUUAUCCUUAUAUCAUUUGACGAGUAUCCUUAUAUCAUUUGACGAAUGCCAACGUAGCAUUACUUGUGCGAGAUGUUUUUUCA